rnacentral:tRNA from 1 species
GCUGGAAUAGCUCAGGUGGGAGAGCGUUAGACUAAAGUUGUUUUGAUCAUUUAAAGGCCCCCGGUUCAAUUCCGGGUUCCGGCA